rnacentral:lncRNA from 1 species
AGAUUAUAGCUUUCAAAGUGUUUGAGAGGAACCAUAUUUUAUAAAUUCAACAUUGCUGACUGCUGAAGGCACUAUCUUCAUGCUAUAUUUUGCCAUGUGGCUGAAGGUCUUGUGAAGGUGGUCUUCAGAGUAUCUGCGUAUUAUCUUUGGCGAUGGUAUCAAAGGCUGCUUCAAGAAUGGAAGCUUUCCUUCCUAAGGAGCCCAAUGUAGACUACUGCUGAAGGUUGAAGUAGGGUAGCAAUUUUCCUCAGCCCCUGAUGCAUCUGGCUCACGUGGGAUCUAUUCCAACAGCAUGAUAACCACAAUAAUCAAGGUCUGCAGAGAGGCUGUAAAAGCACAGAGGACAGCUCCCAACUUAAGCGGAAUCUUUCUAAAACACAAGGUGUGGCUGAAGCUGAGGCCGUAUGGAGAGAUGGUGGGAGAUGAGGCUAAUACGGUGCAGGGACCAGACCAGAAAAGGCCAGCUUUGGCUAUUAUUCUGAUACGCAGCAAUCCAGACAUUACAGAACAGAUGUGCUGUGUAGAGGAGAGACCUACACAGCUCUCCUGUGUUAGAUAGUCCUCAAUUGUGUGACCUUGGGACUAAGACUGAAGCUAGAAGAUACCAAAAAAUUCAUCAACUGAGUUGGAAAAACAUUAGUCAGACUCUUG